UACAGAGGUCUCAAGCGUUGUUCGGAUUCAUUGGGCGUAAAGGGCGCGUAGGCGGCGAGGUAAGUCUGGUGUGAAAUCUAGGAGCUCAACUCCUAAACUGCCCUGGAUACUGCUUUGCUUGAGGACUGGAGAGGAGAUUGGAAUUCACGGUGUAGCAGUGAAAUGCGUAGAUAUCGUGAGGAAGACCAGUGGCGAAGGCGGAUCUCUGGACAGUUCCUGACGCUGAGGCGCGAAGGCCAGGGGAGCAAACGGG
rnacentral:rRNA from 1 species